AAGGCAACCAUUUGACAAGUCUUUCCUUCAAUACAACAACUAUCUAAGAUGAGGACUAGCCAGAUGUUGCUCUUGAUCGCGGCCUUCCUUGUCCUAGCAUCAGAUGCGGUAACAAAGGCAUUAUCCCAUCACCAAAGCCAUGUGAUAAUAAAAGCUGCAAUAAGGCAUGCAUCGACCACCUGAUGUGGAGCGGCGGACAUGGCGAGUGUGUUGCGGAGGGGUGCAAGUGCCUGGAUUGUGUUAAAAUGGAUACUAUUUAGCUAGGAUCGGAUGUCAUGUUCAACUGAAUAACGUAACGAGAUUAUAAAUUGUGUAGCAACAAGGUUGUUCUUUGAAAAGCCGUAUGAAGAAUGAUGAAUUUUA